GCGUCGGACUUCGCCGCUGCCCCCAAAUCGCCCGUGCGCCCCGUCGGAGUUCGCCGCUGCCGUCAGAGUUCGUGAACUAACACCAUUGUUUAAAUCGUAAGGCCACGUCAUCCCCGAAACCCUCUGCCUAAUCGGCAGCCCUCAAAAUUUACCUAGCACAGCAUUGAGUUAUGGCGUUAGUUAUGGAAAAGGAAAUGAUACCUAGCCCUCCAGACCCUGUAAUCAUUGAACUUAACAGGUUGGAGAACAAUCUCAGAGAAAAGAACAGGGAGCUGGAGUUGCUCACUGUGAAAUUAAGGCCUUGAAGGUGACUGAACUUCUGAAGGAUAAAGCUGUAGUAGAGCUAAGCAAUGACCUUACAAAGCUUGAAUUGAAGCUGAGAAAUGUCGAGAAACAUCUUCAAGAUAAGAAUCUUGAGAUAAAAAAACUAAUGAAUGAGAAGAAAGAGGCAUUGACAUCACAAUUUGCAGCCGAAGCAACUCUAAGAAGAGUUCAUGCAAAUCAAAACAAUGAAGGGUUUGUUCCAGUUGAGGCUAUUAUAGCUCCCUAUGAGUCUGAUAUUAGAAAGUACAAAAUUGAGGUAUGAAACCAAGAUUGCCGGACAUCAAUUACAAAGUAAAAGCAUUGUUUUUUUUACUGUGUCUUGUUCUGUAAACUGCAGAUUGCAUCUCUACAAGAGGAUAUAAAGGCAUUAGAGAGACUAAUAAAAUCCAAAGAUGUAGCAUUAUAGGAUUAUCACCUACAUGGUUAUUGUAAGAUCUCCGUUCUUUGGUCUCUUCGCAUAUCUGUUUGUGUUGUGUAGUUUCAGUCGUAUUGGAAAAUGUUGGGUUUCUUUUUCCUUGCGUUUAUAUCCAUUUAGUUAAUAAUUUAUUGAUGUGCAAUGACAUUUUCCAAAAAAAAGGAAAAUGCCUCUUGAAAUAGUUGUUACAUCUUGUCCGUUGUGAAUUUUUGGUUUGGCUUUAUCUGACCUUUCCUUAGCUUGAUUCUAGACAGAGCUACUUAGCUAACCCUUUUAUCUUGGAAGGUUGUCGAGUUAUGGAUUUGAGAAUGGUAUAUAUUUUUCUCAUGAUAUGAGUUAAGAAACAUCUGAUCGAUUACCAUUGGUUGAGUUUGGCUUCACUUUUUUUUUUCAUCUUUCCUUCCUUUCAAUUGUGGUUUUCCUACUAUGGACAUACCUUGUAAUUGGGAUUUUGCUCUUGUGUAUGCUUCUAUUUAACUCCCUUAACUAUGGGAUUUUGCUCUUGUGUAUACUUGUAAUUGGAAUUUUCUCCAAGUUUCGAUCGUACCCUGUUCAAAUGAUUUUUUGCAUUCUAAACUAAUUAGCAAUAUGAUCGAACAUAGAUGUUUUGUUUGCCUAUGAUAUUUAUAUUUCUGCUGAAGACUUGUGACAAUAGAGGAUAUACUUGAAAUUUGCAGAAAACAUUUGUCUAAAUUAAAAGGCAGUUUAUGGCUUGGGUAUAUUUCCAUAAACCUGGCAUAGUCUAUAUGCACAUGGAGUUGUGUCAGAUCCCUGCUUGGAGGUUCUCUCCAUUUUUUUUCUUCUUAUGCUCUCAUUGGCUUUAAGUUUGGAACUGAAAUGUGUAUGCUUCUAUAUUCAACUAUCUAUAGCUUUGCAGGUGGAGUUCCAGGUAUUGGUAAAACACAACUGGGGUAUGUUCAGUUUUUCAUCUUAGGCACCUUAAUGCUGGAACUGAUGGUAAAUUUGAGCCCUCUGGAAAUUUCGGGAUCAGGUUGUGGGUGUUACCAGCUUGGCCUUGGUUUCAAAGCUUUGCAUCAUUCUUAUGCUCUCAUGUUGGGGCGUUUUAAUCUGCCUUUCUCUUUGGUCUUUUUAGUUGAAGUGUGCAGUAUUCUUAUCCGGCUGAAUGUCUAGCUGCUGACAUUCAGACCGGAGGAGAUUUCUUCAAUCUUGGUCCUGGUCUUUGCUGCAAUUUGUAGGUUCUAAUACAAUGGCUUACAGAUCUGCCUUUGUGUCAGACAUUUUGCUUUCUUAGCAGUAUCCUCAUCCAAUGGAAAUAAUCAAAGAACUGAUGGAAAGGCU